UGAUACAAGGUUUCCAAAGUCAAAACAGUUCGUGCUUGCACGAAACUGUUUUUGACCUUGGAAACCGUACAAGAAUGAGAAUGCAGCGAUUUCCGAAGGAAAUCAGCGAAUUCGAAUGCUUGUAGACUUGCGAGAACUGCAAAGCAGUGGAGCAAGUCGUAGGUAUCA
rfam:Clostridiales bacterium KLE1615 genomic scaffold Scaffold737, whole genome shotgun sequence.